rnacentral:lncRNA from 1 species
ACAGGUUUAAGAAGAAAAAUCAUAUGAUCCUGUUAAUUGUUGCAGAGAAAGCAUUUGACAAAAUCCAACACCUAAUCAAGAUUAAAAAAGAAAAAACACCCUCAGCAAACUGGAAAUAGAGGGAACUCACUUAACUUUAUAAAGAAUAGCUACAGAAAAACUAACAUCAUACUUACUGGUAAGAAACUGAAUGCCUUUCUCCUGAGAUCAGGAACACAACAAGGAUAUCCUUUCUUGCCACUUCCAUUCAACAUUGCAGUGAAGGUCAUACAAUUCCAGGUUGCUCACAGACCCCCUCUAGGAGAUGUUACUGUCGCUCAUUCGUAUUUCCGGUUCUACUCCUCUUCCGGGCACACUGGAGAAUUACACUUCCUUGCUGACUUGAGAUAAGUCACAGCUUUGGCCAAUGAAGUGUGAAUGGAAGUUUUCAGAACCUUUAAGAGCCUGUACGCAAUUUGCCAUGCUUUCUCUUUUUGCUUUGUCACCAAAACCUCUGUGUUCCAGAUAGUGACUACUCUGUCUGCGUGGGUCCUGGAGAGAGGAGGAUGCAGAGCACAGCACUUAGCCAACCUGCAAUGGACACGUAGAAUCCUCCUUACUGUCUUGUGUUCAAUGCUGAAGACCUGGUGUCCAUGCCUAACAUAACCUGAAGGUGCCUCUUGAAUGGAUCACAUUUGGCUUUCCUUAUGUCCUUGCUCACUAUCAUGGCUACCACGAGAGCCAAGGCAACCCACAGAGAUGGACUUGAAGUGAGAAAUCUACUCUGACCUUUGCCAGAACAUCCAGCUCAGAUUUUGGCCUAGAAACCUCAAGAAAGGCUCUGGCCUAGACUUGCCCCUUGUUCCUGUCUUCUGGCUCUUGACUGACACUGGUGCUUUCCCCCUGUGGUCCUGCAUGGUGUGUGGUGACUACCUCAUUGGGCCCUAAAACUUCUAAAAUCAUCAGGAGAUAUCACUGAAAAGGUUUCAAAACAAAGCCAUAAUCUCUAGAAAUGUGUCCUUGAUGGGUUGGUCUUCAUUUGCCUGAAGACUGAUCAUUCUAAGGAGGAUUUUGUGCUGCUCUUGUUUUGCUGCUGGGCCUAUCCUGUUUCCAUUCCCAAAUCAAGUAUUCCUGGAAUUUAAGGUAUCACUUUACCAGCCUGACCACAAGUUCCCCAUUGUUUCCUCUGCUCUGCUCAUGACCUGGAAUAAUGCCUCUCCCUGGAUACUAAAUUUACUGACCCUGCCUAGGACCGAGAAGAUUGAUGAGUCCUCAACCCGUGCAUGUCUUCAAAAAGCCACCAACUGAUAGCUACAAAACUGCACUUCCUAGAGACAUGUUGAGAGAGGUUCAAGGCUCAACAGAACUUACCCUUUUGCUGUCAGAGCUCCACCACCAGAUAAGCACAACUGAGCGAAUGACACCAACCAGUGCCAAGAGAAGCAGGACUACCCAACUACACUUUGCCUAAAUUCCUGAUUCACAGAAUUAUAAGCAAAUAAAAUGAUUGUUUAAAGCACUAAGUUUUGGGUUCAUUUGUUAUGCGGCAAUAAAGAAUCAAAACACCUGGAACCCAGUUCCCUUCUCUUUUAUUACCCACAUGGUCUCUCUCCUGUAGUGUCGCUGUUUUUCCUGACUAGCUUUCUCAUCCUGCUGUUACACCCUUACUAGGAAUUUCUCUCAGCAAUAUCCAGUUAAAAUUCCGGAAGGGAAUAGGCUGGUUGGCUUUGCUCAUUGUCUCACUUUUCUUGGGCAGAACCUUUUGUACCAAUCCAUUUCAUCAGCAUUUUUAUGGGUGAAUCUUAGUUGACCAGGUACCGACUCUCGUCAAAUUACUGUCUGACUCUACACAAGAAAUAUACAAAGAGCCUGGUGCUGCUUUCCUGAGCAGGACAGUUCAUAGGGACAUUGAGCAUGGUUGGCAUCUAACCUGGUUAUUCUGAAGAUUUCAUGAUUAAAUCCUCAGUCCUAUGAAUUAACCAAUUGUCCAGUGUUAAAAUACAGACACCCCCUGCACACAUGAAACUGCUCAUCAAUUGUUUAAACUUUAACAUAUGUAAAAGGUGUCCAGUAGGAGCUAGCUGAAUCUGAGCAUUAAUGCUGGAAAAGGAGGAGGAGGCCUGAGAUCUUUGGCUGCUUGGUAGAGUAAAGGUGGUAGAAAGAAGUCAACAAGAACUUAAAGGAAAGAUCAAAGGACAGUGAAAGAACAUUUUUCCUAGUUUUGCCUAGAGCAGGCUUUUGAUUAAAGGUAGAGUGCUGACUCUCUAAAGAUAGAUAUCUAAAAGGAUUCUUCUAGAUACAUGAGAGCACAGGAAAGAUUGUGCAAGGGCAUAAAUAUGAGCAUACUAUAGUGAUUAAGACCAUGUGACAUUAAAGGAAGAGGAAGAUGGAAAAAAAGGUACAUGAAGAAUAUAAACAAGAGGUUGGUGCCUAGAAAAAGAGGAAGAUAGUAGAAAGUUUGGGAAGUAUAGAAAGUAUAAGAUCCUUUAGGAGUUGUUCUUUAUAUACUACUAUUUGCUAAACUUCAAUGUUUAAAAUUCAGCAUUUGUAGAGCAAGCGUAGGUAUACAGCUAUUAUUAAAUUCUAAUAUGUAAUGGUCUGUAUACUUCCAGAAGCUUUCAGAGUUUUGAAUUGAUAUUCCAUUAUAAAUUUUUUAGGAAUUCACCAUUUGUAAUGCACAUGUCUAGUGAUAAUUCUUUCCCUCAGCCCCACCCCCCAGAUCUUUAUAUGUCUGGUAAUUUCUCAUCAUUCAGGCUUUCGUUGAAACGGAAAUGCCUCAGAAAGCCUUUUGCUUUCUUAACCAUCCUUGGCAAGAAGAAUUCCAUGAUGGACCCUCCAGGUUCCUAGCCUUGAUAUACACACAUCUCUCAGUUAUUCAGUAAAACACACUAAUGUAGCUAUUGCUGUAAAGGAAGUAUGGAGAUGAAAUCAAGGUCCCAAAUCUAUUGACCUUUAAAUAAAGAGAUUAACCGGGUGGAACUGACCAAGUCAUAUGAGCCCUUUAAAAUAAAUUUUCUCAACCACAGUGAGAUACGACCUCAUAGCUGUUACAACGGCUAUAUCAAAGAGACAAGAGAGGCUGGGCAUGGUGGCUCACGCCUAUAAUCCCUGCACUUUGGGAGGCAGAGGAGGGUGGGUUACUUGAGGUCAGGUGUUUGAGACCAGCCUGGCCAACAGGCUGAAAGCCCGUCUCUACUAAAAAUACAAAAAUUAACCUGGCAUGGUGGAGGGCAUCUGUAAUCCCAGCAACUCAGCUGAGGCAGAAUAAUUGCUUAAACCCAAGAGAUGGAUGUUGCAGUGAGCCAAAACCACACCACAGCCCUUCAGCCUGGGCAACAGAGUGAGACUCCAUCUUAAAAAAAAAAAAAACAAGAGAUAACAAGUUCAGCUAAUUUAAUGUAUAGCAUGCCAAUUAUAAUUAAUAACAAUGUAACAUACACUUGGAAAUUGCUAAAAGAGUCGAUUUCAAUGUCCUCACCCCAAACAAAUAAUAUGUGAGGUAGUAGAUAUGUUAAUUAGCUUGAUUUUGUCAUUUCACAAUGUGUACAUAUAUCAAAAUAUAUUGUACACCAUAAAUAUAUACAAUUUUUAUUUAUUCAUUUAAAAAUAAGUAAAAAUAAAAAUGGGGCUUAUACUUUAAGAAAUUGAUUUUGGCCAGGCACAGUGGCUCACGCCUGUAAUCCCAGCACUUUGGGAGGCCGAGGUGGGUGGAUCACCUGAGGUCUGGAGUUCGAGACCAGCUUAGCCAACAUGGUGAAACCCCAUCUCUGAUGAAAAUAUAAAAAAUGAGCUGGGUGUGGUGGAAGGCUCCUAUAAUCCCAGCUACCUGAGAGGCUGAGGCAGGAGAAUCACUUGAAGCGGGGUGGUGGAGGUUGCAGUGAGUCGAGAUCGCAUCAUUGCACGCCAGCCUGGGCAACAGGAGCAAAACUCUGCUCAAAAAAAGAAAAAAGAAAAAAGAAAAAAAAAAACUUGAUUUUAUCUGGCUGUUUGAAGAAGUCAGAGAUGUGAAGUUUGUGACGGUUAUCACAUGCCAUUGCUGACAAAGAUGGAGGAAUUCAAGGAAUGUGGCAGGCUACUGGAGCCCAGGGUAGCCCUUGGCUAACAGCCAGCAAGGAGCAAGGAUCUCAGUCCUACAACUACAAGGAACUGGAUUCUGCCAGUAACAGCAAUGAGCUUGGAAGCAGAGUUUUUAUUUCAGCCUUGUGAGACCCUGAGCAGAGAACCCAGCAAUACCAUGCCAGACUUCUGAUCUACAAAGCAGUAUAUAAUAAAUGAGUGUUUUUUAAAUGGCUGAGUUCAUGAUAAUUUGUUACAUAGCAACAGAAAACUAAUUUACCAUCCUAAUCUAAAAUAAGACCCCAUAAUCACACUCCAGUCAUUAUUAUACAUUAGUUUGUUUUUCUUUCUUCAAAAAUAUAUAUAAUAAUUUAUGUAUUAUAUAUAAAACAUAAAAUUAAUAUUUAUUUGCUUGCUUGCUUGCUAAAUAUCUCUUCCCUAAUAUUAUAUUAGACAAUAAGCUUAGUGAGGGAACGUAAAAGGUACCCAAUCAAUAUUUACUUAAAAAAAGAUAAAUGCCUACAUUUAAACAAAUAUUUUUCAAAAAAAGGUUAAUCAAAUCUCAGAGAUACCAUCCCCCCCAAAAAAUUUUUUAAAUAUGUCUUCUAGGCCAGGCGCAGUGGCUCACACCUGUAAUCCCAGCACUUGGGGAGGCUGAGGUGGAAGGACUGCCUGAGUCCAGGAGUUCAAGACCAACCUAGGCAACAUGUUGAGACUCCAUCUCAUAAAAUAAAUUUGUUUUUUAAAGUGUCUUCUGGCCGGGCGCGGUGGCUUACGCCUGUAAUCCCAGCACUUUGGGAGGCCGAGGCGGGCG